ACAACUCCGAAAUAGGAAAGCCUU
rnacentral:siRNA from 1 species